AUUGAACGCUGGCGGCAGGCCUAACACAUGCAAGUCGAACGAGUGGCGGACGGGUGAGUAAUGUCUGGGAAACUGCCUGAUGGAGGGGGAUAACUACUGGAAACGGUAGCUAAUACCGCAUACCAUCAGAUGUGCCCAGCGGGGAUUAGCUAGUUGGUGGGGUAACGGCGCACCAAGGCGACGAUCCCUAGCUGGUCUCAGUGGAUGACCAUCCACACUAGAACUGAGACACAGUCCAGACGCCUACGGUAGGCAGCUGUGGGGAAUAUUGCACAAUGGGCGCAAGCCUGAUGCAGGCAUGCCGCGUGUAUGAAGAAGGCCUGCGGGUUGUAAAGUACUUUCAGCGGGGAGGCGUUACCGGCAGAAGAAGCACCGGCUAACUCCGUGCCAGCAGCCGCGGUAAUUC
rnacentral:rRNA from 1 species